GGAGAGGUGCCGGAGUGGUCGAACGGGGCGGUCUCGAAAACCGUUGUCCCUUCUGGGGACCCAGGGUUCGAAUCCCUGUCUCUCCGCCA
rnacentral:tRNA from 1 species